UACGUAGGGACCAAGCGUUGUUCGGAUUUACUGGGCGUAAAGGGCUCGUAGGCGGCCAACUAAGUCAUACGUGAAAUCCCUCGGCUUAACCGGGGAACUGCGUCUGAUACUGGAUGGCUUGAGAUUGGGAGAGGGAUGCGGAAUUCCAGGUGUAGCGGUGAAAUGCGUAGAUAUCUGGAGGAACACCGGUGGCGAAGGCGGCAUCCUGGACCAACACUGACGCUGAGGAGCGAAAGCCAGGGGAGCAAACGGG
rnacentral:rRNA from 1 species